rnacentral:misc_RNA from 1 species
UCCUGGUUAACCCAGGCAGUCUCGUUAGAGUUCCCACCUUUACGUGCUGGCAACUAACGAUAAGGGUUGCGCUCGUUGCUGGACUUAACCAAACACCUCACGGCACGAGCUGACGACAGCCAUGCAGCACCUGUUCACAGGCUCCGAAGAGCUGUAUCAUUUCUAAUACAUUCCUAUGUAUGUCAAGUCUGGGUAAGGUUCUUCGCGUUGCAUCGAAUUAAACCACAUACUCCACUGCUUGUGCGGGUCCCCGUCAAUUCUUUUGAGUUUCACCCUUGCGAGCGUACUCCCCAGGCGGUAUACUUAUCGCGUUUGCUUCGGCACAACCAGGGUUGAGUCCGGUUACACCAAGUAUACAUCGUUUACGGCAAGGACUAC